GCGAACGGGUGAGUAACACGUAGGUAACCUACCAUAUAGACGAGGACAACAGUUGGAAACGACUGCUAAAACUGGAUAAUAUAUAUUCUUGCAUGAGAGUAUAUUGAAAGCAGCUCAUGGCUGUACUAUAUGAUGGACCUGCGGCGUAUUAGCUAGUUGGUAAGGUAGAGGCUUACCAAGGCAACGAUACGUAGCCGACCUGAGAGGGUGAACGGCCACAUUGGGACUGAGACACGGCCCAA
rnacentral:rRNA from 1 species